GCUGCUGCAUCUUGUCGCCACGGAGAGUCUCCGCGUGGCUGUGUUUGAGACGAGACUCAGCGGAGGACUUGGUCUGGCGUGUAGAUUGGAAGCGGGGAAACCUAAUCCCUUGGGGAAGGUGAUGGCUCCGUUGAGCAUGAGAGAAGCCAUUGGUGAAGCGUGAAAUGCUUAUCAGAUCGGGUAGUUGGAAACGAGGCGCUUUAUCACCACUGAACGAGCAGGCCUUAAAUCAGAGUGAUGACUCGCAGCCACAUACCUUAUUUAUUUAUUAUUUGAUGUAAUUAUAAUAUCGUAACGUUGUUGUACGUUGCGAUUACCCAUUUUGAUGGCCUAUUGAAAAAUGGGAUGAAAUUUACAGUUCCAUGAUAGUUUUGGGCUUUAAUAACGUGACUUGAAGAAAAGAGGUCCAUAUAUCUGUAACGAUCCGAUUAUCGGUCCAGUCAUUUCGGCCCAGCAAAAUCCACUAAAUUUGCUGGAACACCUAGGUGAGUCCCCACUAUUUAAACAAAGCCUCCCUAAUCCCUUGGGGAAGGUGAUGGCUCCGUUGAGCAUGAGAGAAGCCAUUGGUGAAGCGUGAAAUGCUUAUCAGAUCGGGUAGUUGGAAACGAGGCGCUUUAUCACCACUGAACGAGCAGGCCUUAAAUCAGAGUGAUGACUCGCAGCCACAUACCUUAUUUAUUUAUUAUUUGAUGUAAUUAUAAUAUCGUAACGUUGUUGUACGUUGCGAUUACCCAUUUUGAUGGCCUAUUGAAAAAUGGGAUGAAAUUUACAGUUCCAUGAUAGUUUUGGGCUUUAAUAACGUGACUUGAAGAAAAGAGGUCCAUAUAUCUGUAACGAUCCGAUUAUCGGUCCAGUCAUUUCGGCCCAGCAAAAUCCACUAAAUUUGCUGGAACACCUAGGUGAGUCCCCACUAUUUAAACAAAGCCUCCCUAAUCCCUUGGGGAAGGUGAUGGCUCCGUUGAGCAUGAGAGAAGCCAUUGGUGAAGCGUGAAAUGCUUAUCAGAUCGGGUAGUUGGAAACGAGGCGCUUUAUCACCACUGAACGAGCAGGCCUUAAAUCAGAGUGAUGACUCGCAGCCACAUACCUUAUUUAUUUAUUAUUUGAUGUAAUUAUAAUAUCGUAACGUUGUUGUACGUUGCGAUUACCCAUUUUGAUGGCCUAUUGAAAAAUGGGAUGAAAUUUACAGUUCCAUGAUAGUUUUGGGCUUUAAUAACGUGACUUGAAGAAAAGAGGUCCAUAUAUCUGUAACGAUCCGAUUAUCGGUCCAGUCAUUUCGGCCCAGCAAAAUCCACUAAAUUUGCUGGAACACCUAGGUGAGUCCCCACUAUUUAAACAAAGCCUCCCUAAUCCCUUGGGGAAGGUGAUGGCUCCGUUGAGCAUGAGAGAAGCCAUUGGUGAAGCGUGAAAUGCUUAUCAGAUCGGGUAGUUGGAAACGAGGCGCUUUA